rnacentral:lncRNA from 1 species
GGGGGAUUCCAGGCCUCAGCCUGAGAAAGCGAGGAAAGGUCUCAUCCAGAGGAGUGAGGGCCUCCAAGCCCAUGAAAGGCCUGGAAGCCUGUGGGCAGGAGCAUGGCUUCCCUGGGUCUCCAGAAGUUGUGCUGAGCCAGUCCCAUGGUAGCCCCCUCCUCCCUCAGACCCGGGAGUCCAGGCCCAGCCCCUCCUCCCUCAGACCCAGGAGUCCAUGUCCCGAGCCCCUCCUCCCUCAGACCCAGGAGUCCAGGCCCAGCCCCUCCUCCCUCAGACCCAGGAGUCCAGGCCCAGCCCCUCCUCCCUCAGACCCAGGAGUCCAGG